rnacentral:rRNA from 1 species
GAAUUAGACAGGAGGCCACCCAAGCGGAGGAACAUGUGGUUUAAUUCGAUGAUACGCGAGGAACCUUACCCGGGCUUGAACUGCCAGCGAACAAUACAGAGAUGUUGAGGCCCUUCGGGGCGCUGGUGGAGGUGCUGCAUGGUUGUCGUCAGCUCGUGCCGUGAGGUGUCGGCUUAAGUGCCAUAACGAGCGCAACCCUUUUCAUUAGUUGCCAUCAGGUCAUGCUGGGCACUCUGAUGAUACUGCCACCGUAAGGUGUGAGGAAGGUGGGGAUGACGUCAAAUCAGCACGGCCCUUACGUCCGGGGCUACACACGUGUUACAAUGGGUGGUACAGAGAGCUGGGUGCCCGCAAGGUCGCCCCAAUCUUCAAAGCCAUCCUCAGUUCGGAUUGGGGUCUGCAACCCGACCCCAUGAAGCUGGAUUCGCUAG